rnacentral:misc_RNA from 1 species
GAUGAAGAACGUAGCGAAAUGCGAUAAAUAAUGUGAAUUGCAGAAUCCCGUGAACCAUCGAGUCUUUGAACGCAAGUUGCGCCCGAAGCCAUUAGGCCGAGGGCACGCCUGCCUGGGUGUCACACACCGUUACCCUCGCGCCAACGUCCAUCGUUGGCCGCGGCGCGGGGCGUGCGCUGACCUCCCGCGAGCGGGGUCUCGUGGUUGGUUGAAAAUCGAGUUCGCGGUCGAGGGUGCCGUGAUGAAAUGGUGGAUGGGCGACGCCCGAGGCCAAUCACGCGCGACUCUGUCCGGCUCGGACUCCUGGACCCCUUCGGCGUCUCCGGACGCUCUUUGGCGAGACCUCAGGUCAGGCGGGGCUACCCGCUGAGUUUAAGCAUAUCAAUAAGCGGAGGA